rnacentral:rRNA from 1 species
GAUGGGAGCUUGCUCCCUGAUGUUAGCGGCGGACGGGUGAGUAACACGUGGGUACCUGCCUGUAAGACUGGGAUAACUCCGGGAAACCGGGGCUAAUACCGGAUGGUUGUUUGAACCGCAUGGUUCAAACAUAAAAGGUGGCUUCGGCUACCACUUACAGAUGGACCCGCGGCGCAUUAGCUAGUUGGUGAGGUAACGGCUCACCAAGGCAACGAUGCGUAGCCGACCUGAGAGGGUGAUCGGCCACACUGGGACUGAGACACGGCCCAGACUCCUACGGGAGGCAGCAGUAGGGAAUCUUCCGCAAUGGACGAAAGUCUGACGGAGCAACGCCGCGUGAGUGAUGAAGGUUUUCGGAUCGUAAAGCUCUGUUGUUAGGGAAGAACAAGUACCGUUCGAAUAGGGCGGUACCUUGACGGUACCUAACCAGAAAGCCACGGCUAACUACGUGCCAGCAGCCGCGGUAAUACGUAGGUGGCAAGCGUUGUCCGGAAUUAUUGGGCGUAAAGGGCUCGCAGGCGGUUUCUUAAGUCUGAUGUGAAAGCCCCCGGCUCAACCGGGGAGGGUCAUUGGAAACUGGGGAACUUGAGUGCAGAAGAGGAGAGUGGAAUUCCACGUGUAGCGGUGAAAUGCGUAGAGAUGUGGAGGAACACCAGUGGCGAAGGCGACUCUCUGGUCUGUAACUGACGCUGAGGAGCGAAAGCGUGGGGA